UCAAUUAUGUCUGGAUGAUGGAUGAGGAUUGAAGAAGCACGGACUCUUGAUUGACCAGGACCAGGCAGCCAAUGAAAGCUCUGACUUCUCGCCAUAUGCCACACAGCUUCAGUGAGGACCAUCGCUGCGGGAUCACCGAAGGGCUUGGAUUACAAGAGGCCAAGUUGGGAAGACGGAAGUGGAAAAUAGGAGGAGACUGGUUUAACUUCCUCUCGGAAGAGACGUGUAGCUUUUUGUUGUGUUAAGUGGAAAGACCCCCAUUCCCUCGGCUUUUGUUUACUUUAUUGAUCCUUGAAAACUAAAAUGUAAUAAGGAAACAGGAAAUAUUUGAAUCAGACACAAUAAAUGUAUGCCGAAGAAUACAGCCAAACUAUUUGUAUAACUUUUCCAUAAGUAACAAACCUACUCAAAAUAAUGUUUUUUAUUUGUUAGUUUGUGUUAAUUGUUCUAGUAUGCAAGACGCUCUCUUAGCAGAGAGUGGCUUGCAUAGAUCAAACAGAAGAUUAGUACAAGGUAAAUCCUUAGGUCAAAUAACUAGUACCAUUCUUUACUUUAAAACAAGCUGUGUUGUUGCUGCUUUUGUACAAAUGGGGGACCAUCAAUGUCACAUUGGAAUAUGGUGAAAUUAUAGCAAUGUGCCAAUUUGAACAGACAGCUUGUCUAGACAGCUUAUUCCAUAAGCAACGUGUUUCAGAAGCAUAAUAUAAUUCUACUGCCAGUCCGAGGAGUCCUAAAAACGGUCUCUUAAAGCAAAAGUAUUGAGCCUGCUGUUGCAUGCAACGAAAAAUAACUAAAACCACAUCAAACAUGUGUCAUCUUUUUCUGCUUUUCUUUCAUGGCAGGUCAGGUUUUUGUUUGCGAAAAUGCUUUAAAUCAUCUGAAAAGGGUUUUUCUGGGUCUGUGAUUUCCAUGAGCCACACCUAUAUGGGCCUGUACUAAAAACUGUGAUAGAAAAACAAAAACGGGAAUGCCUGAGAAAGCAAAACAAACCAGGAUAAUACUAACCCUGAGAAAGACCUCGAACCAAUCAUAAAAACACAGAUGGAAAGCCCCUUUAAACCAACAGUGAGACAGUUAACACCUUUCACCUUUGUUUGUUCAAUGUCAACCUCAAAGUUUGAAUACCCUUACUGUGUUUCUUUCUCCUGAAGGCCGUCCCUUGUCUCUGUUCUACAAUUAUACCCUAUUUAAACAAUAAUGGAGACCCAUUAUCAUUAAAUAUGGGCGGCAUGACAGCUGGUAUGUUGUGAUG